UCUUAUAAAUUGCUUACAUAACUCACCGAUUUCUGCAUGUCUGGAAAACGGUCGGAUUUAGUUCCUGUCUCCGCCUCCCAAAAUGUCUAGUGUAUUCGGAUUGGUCAGAUGACUACUCAACUGUUAUUGGUCAACUGCGUUCAGCGUGUGUUUGAAAGGUUACGCCCCUGACUACGCGUGGGUUUUCCGGUUCUGACUGAGAGUCACAGGCAACGUAAACAAGCGCUAUAUUUCUCUAUAAACGAUGGUGUCUGUACUGCCUUACCACUUCGAGCUCGAUCCAGAGAGUUCAGACGGCCGUUACGAUAUAAACGAUCUCCGUCAAUGAACGCGAUUGGAUUUAACUUUUUUAGGUGUCCUUAGCUCUGCCAGAAUGCUAAACGAAGACGAAAAUGUGUUGCAAAGACAUCCAAAAGGUUUUAAGGAGAAUGCAACAUGUUCCAGGGCCUCUUACCUGCGUGAUUCAUCAUCCAGGUUUUGCACAAAUUGUCUAAAUCCCUACACACAGAACAUUUAUUGUACCGACUAUAAGCCUUUGAGGUGCAGGACUAGAAUACGCUUGGAGCUUCCUGAUCAGAUCGGUCACAAUUUUGGCUUUCGACGACCCCUGCACUGAAGAUGGCAUGCAAUCACGUCCUCCUUUGAAGGUCUCUCAAACUGUGAUGCCAGGUCCAUUGGAAUCAGGGCUUCCUUC